ensembl:lncRNA
AGAGUUUUGUAUAUCUGUCGGGUGGGAGGGAUCAGAGGAAAGAGAUGAAUGCAGGUCUGGAGUUCGUGUGUGUGAGAGUCAAGAGUGACAGAGCAGGUACAACCUAAAGGUAGGAGAGGUGAGGUAAGACCUCUAUUUUUUUUAUGCUUUUAUGAUUCUAAAAUAAAAAAGGAUGUUUAUUAGCAUCCUUAAGUUUUUCAUGUGCAAGCUAACAAUGAGGAUUAUCUUGUUGUUGAAAGAUUUUAUUAUGUUUAUGUUUAGAAGUACAUUUUGUUUAAGGUUUUAUAGAUGUGUUUGCUCUUUUUAUUAGAGAAGUUACGUUGUGCAAGCUUUGUGUGCAUUCCAGAGCUCCCUGACUUUCACACCCACAUCCUGGGAUCAUGGGAGAGGAGGUCUGUAACAACUCUGUGCAGCAUGAAGAGGGGAGUGCGUUCACUCCUCCUCAGAGUGUUCUGGCAUAGAUCACACGUCUCCUAGGAGAGGUCGUAUCUUCUCUUGCUGAUAUAUGGUUAAAGCGGAGUGUAUUUGUGUUAGAAACGUCCCCAAAAGUCGUAAGUAUAUGGCAUACUAAUGACUAUAGUUGGAUAUGUUUUUGUAUGUUUUUUAAAAAAUUAAAAAGUAAGAGUUAUGUUGUAAAACCCGUCAUUAUGUCUAAGAUUUGGAAAUGUAAAACAAAUACCAAUGAGAAUGAGGACUAAGAUAAAGCAAUCCAUCCCCCAAAUCAUUACACAUUGUGUUUUCCAAUUCCCUAAGGAACGUUUCCCAUUGACCGUCCCCAUUUAGGUUAAAGCGGAGUGUAUUUGUGUUAGAAACGUCCACAAAAGUUAUAACAGUCAGGUGUAGCAAUAACUAUAUUUGGAUAUGUUUUUGCAAUAUUUAAAUGGAGGUGUAUUUCUGUAUUUAGUAUUAAUCUACCCUUGAGAUCAGUGACAAAACCGUUAAUGGUCACUGAUCGUUAAUGACAUCAGUUAAUGAUUACUGUACUCUGUUAGUAUAUCAAUUUAAUUCAAUUUCAUUUAUGUAUAUCCUUUUGAUUGUCCUCAGUCAGGUUAACGAAGUGCAUUUUUGUUAGAAAUGUCCCCGGAAGUCAUAAGAGUCAUCUUUUUUGGCAGUUUUCAAUUGUCUCUUGUCUAUUUGUUAUUCAUGUUAAAUCUACUCAUAACAUCAGUGAAAACUAAAAUUAAGAAAUCCAUUCUAAAAUCGUUCAGCUUGUCUUGUCACUCACAGAUCUUUAAUACUGUACUUAUUGGUGCCCUGAGGUAAAGGAUAUUUUGAUUGGU